UGCGGAGGGGGCGAGCGUUAUUCGGAAUUAUUGGGCGUAAAGGGCGCGUAGGCGGCUUGACAAGUCAAAGGUGAAAUCCCUCGGCUCAACUGAGGAACUGCCUUUGAAACUGUCUGGCUUGAGGCCGGGAGGGGGUAGCGGAAUUCCCAGUGUAGCGGUGAAAUGCGUAGAUAUUGGGAGGAACACCAGUGGCGAAGGCGGCUACCUGGACCGGUUCUGACGCUGAUGCGCGAAAGCGUGGGUAGCAAACAGG
rnacentral:rRNA from 1 species